GAUGAAGAACGCAGCGAAAUGCGAUAAGUAAUGUGAAUUGCAGAAUUCAGUGAAUCAUCGAAUCUUUGAACGCACCUUGCGCCCUUUGGCCAUUCCGAAGGGCAUGCCUGUUUGAGUAUCAUGAACACCUCAACUCUUCAUGGUUUUCCGUGAUGAGCUUGGACUUUGGGGGUCUUGCUGGCCUAUGGUCAGCUCCUCUAAAAUAAAUCAGCUUGCCAGUGUUUGGUGGGUAUCACAGGUGUGAUAACUAUCUACGCUUGUGGUUUUCCACCAGGUAACCUUCAGCAGUGGAGGUUCGCUGGAGCUCACAGAUGUGUCUCUCCUCAGUGAGGACAGCUUUUUGAAUGUUUGAUCUCAAAUCAGGUAGGACUACCCGCUGAACUUAAGCAUAUCAAUAAGCGGAGGA
rnacentral:misc_RNA from 1 species